UAAGUGAAUAGUGAAAUCUGGUGGCUCAACCAUACAGGCUAUUAUUCAAACUGGCAAACUCGAGAGUGGUAGAGGUCACUGGAAUUUCUUGUGUAGGAGUGAAAUCCGCGGAUAUAAGAAGGAACACCGAUGGCGUAGGCAGAUGACUGGACCACUUCUGACGCUAAGGCACGAAAGCGUGGGAGCGAACCGGAUUAGAUACCCGGGUAGUCCACGCCGUAAACGAUGGAUACUG
rnacentral:rRNA from 1 species